AACGAACGCUGGCAGAAUGCUUAACACAUGCAAGUCGAACGUGAAAGUCCUUCGGGAUGAGUAAAGUGGCGCACGGGUGAGUAACACGUAGGUGACCUGCCGUUUAGAGGGGGAUAACCAGAAGAAAUUUUGGCUAAUACCGCAUACGAAGAACAAAUUUAAAAAUAGUUCUUGAAAGGAUGCCUCUGUAUAUGCAUCUACUAAACGAUGGGCCUGCGGUACAUUAGCUAGUUGGUGGGGUAAUGGCCUACCAAGGCGACGAUGUAUAACGGAUCUGAGAGGAUGAUCCGUCACACUGGAACUGAGACACGGUCCAGACUCCUACGGGAGGCAGCAGUGGGGAAUAUUGGACAAUGGGCGAAAGCCUGAUCCAGCAAUUCUGCGUGAGUGAGGAAGGACUUCGGUCUGUAAAGCUCUGUUAAUGUGGAAAAAUGGUAGUUGGUCUAAUAGGCCGACUAUUUGAUGGUACACAUAGAGGAAGCACCGGCUAACUUCGUG
rnacentral:rRNA from 1 species